UCGCGUGCUAAUUUGUUGAGUAACAUUCGGAAGAAGCGCGUGGGGAUGUAGAAGGCGGGGACGAGAGGUUGUAGGAUCGGGGAGAACCAGAAGAGGAGGUGUUCGAGGGCGGUGAAAGGGAAUGAUGAGUCGUGGUGGAAUCCGGCGGGUGAGAGGAGGAUGAGCCGAGAGAGGUGGUGGGGCUUUUCUUGAAUCCGGCGGGUUAUUAGGUACAUGAGGAUGGCGGCACCACCUAAGCUGUGGCAGAUUGCAAAAAGUUUGUAUGGUUGUUCGGUUUCUAAUUCUUGUGUGUUGUGUUCUAAUUCG
rnacentral:lncRNA from 1 species